rnacentral:tRNA from 1 species
UGUUGUGUGGCUCAGUUGGUGAAAGCGCCGGUCUAGCGAAUACGGAGUCGUGGGUUCGAGUCCCACCAGAACGA